UACGAAGGGGGCUAGCGUUGUUCGGAGUUACUGGGCGUAAAGGGCGCGUAGGCGGCGCAUCAAGUCAGGCGUGAAAGCCCUGGGCUCAACCCGGGAAUUGCGCUUGAGACUGGUGUGCUUGAGUACGGGAGAGGAUAGUGGAAUUCCCAGUGUAGAGGUGAAAUUCGUAGAUAUUGGGAAGAACACCAGUGGCGAAGGCGGCUAUCUGGACCGUAACUGACGCUGAGGCGCGACAGCGUGGGGAUCAAACAGG
rnacentral:rRNA from 1 species